rnacentral:rRNA from 1 species
GACGAACCGAGCGAACGUUAUUCGGAAUCACUGGGCUUAAAGGGCGCGUAGGCGGGCGGCCAAGUCAGGGGUGAAAGCCCCCAGCUCAACUGGGGAAGUGCCUUUGAUACUGGUCAUCUCGAGGGAGAUAGGGGCGUGCGGAACUUCCGGUGGAGCGGUGAAAUGCGUAGAUAUCGGAAGGAACACCGGUGGCGAAAGCGGCGCGCUGGAUCUCUUCUGACGCUGAGGUGCGAAAGCGUGGGGAGCAAACAGG